rnacentral:rRNA from 1 species
AACGAACGCUGGCGGCAUGCCUAACACAUGCAAGUCGAACGAGACCUUCGUGUCUAGUGGCGCACGGGGGCGUAACGCGUGGGAACCUUGCCUUAGGUUCGGAAUAACUCCCCGAAAGGGGUGCUAAUACCGGAUAAUUUCUUCUGAUCAAAGAUUUGUCGUCCUAGGUUGCGCACGAGUUGGUUGAGCUAGUUGGUAGUGUAAAAGCCUACCACGGCGACGAUCCUUAGCGGGUCUGAGAGGAUGAUCCGCCACACUGGGACUGAGACACGGCCCGGACUACUGCGGGAGGCAGCAGUGGGUAAUCUUGGACAAUCGGCGGAAGCCUGAACCAGCAAUGCCGCGUGAGUGAUGAAGGCCUUAGGGUUGUAAAGCUCUUUUAUCCGGGAUGAUACUGACGGUACCGGGAGAAUAAGCACCGGCUAACUCCGUG